AGCAGCCGCGGUAAUUCCAGCUCCAAUAGCGUAUAUUAAAGUUGUUGCAGUUAAAAAGCUCGUAGUUGAAUUUCGGGAUCAAUACGUCGGUCGUGCCUCGGUACGUACUGGCGUCAUUGAUUUCUCCCUUCUGAAGAACCGUGAUGCCAUUAACUUGGUGUCAUGGGAAAUCAGGACUGUUACUUUGAAAAAAUUAGAGUGUUUAAAGCAGGCUCACGCUUGAAUACAUUAGCAUGGAAUAAUGAAAUAGGACGUUCGACCCUAUUUUGUUGGUUUCUAGGAUUGACGUAAUGAUUAAUAGGGAUAGUUGGGGGCAUUAGUAUUCAAUUGUCAGAGGUGAAAUUCUUGGAUUUAUUGAAGACUAACUACUGCGAAAGCAUUUGCCAAGGAUGUUUUCAUUAAUCAAGAACGAAAGUUAGGGGAUCGAAGACGAUCAGAUACCGUCGUAGUCUUAACCAUAAACUAUGCCGACUAGGGAUCGGAUGAUGUUAAUUUUUAAUUGACUCAUUCGGCGCCUUAA
rnacentral:rRNA from 1 species